CGACUGCCAGGUGAUCAGAAUUACUGCUUUGUUUAUUACUCAACAAUGUCGGACACUGGUUUCUCUAAAUAUCUUUUACAAGUACAGUUUCUACUUUUUUCUGCAGAAAUACUACAUGGUAGUCUUGAAGUAAAUACCAAUUAUGUGAUCCGAUAUGUUGUUUCAGAACAAUAGACCAUCAAUAUUAUUUUCGCCUCGGGUUCUAGAGGAGGACAGCUAAUUAAGAGAAAACUUCGGUGGGAUAGAGACAGAAGUUUGCUAUAUUUCACAAUACCCAAACAGAAUUUCAUUGCUGAUUCUUCUCCCCUGAACUUUGCUCAUGCCAAUUACAUUUUGUAGACCCUUUUUAAGGAAACUGCUUCGUUUACACCAUCCCAUUGGCAUGUCUAUUAGCAGUAAUGAAACUCAAACGAACACUUCUAGGCUAGAUAUUAUUGAGGUGUUGUGUACGUUGGUCCUUUUUAUAGAUCUUGCCAUCUUUGUUUGCCAGGUGAUCAGUCAUUUAAAGUAUUUGAGAAACUUGAAGGGAAGCACAUGGCAAAGCCAUAAUUACCUUUUAGUUAUAUUUCAAGUUGUAGGAAAGUUGGAAUCAAUCUGGAAAGCAUCUUUCUAUUGCAGAUAUUUUAUUAGUGGCUUGAAGACUUACACUCUGUUUGAUGUUAGAGAAAUAGUGAGGUUAUGCCACAAUGCUGAUAGACUUGGUACUUGUAGGAUGGAGAGGAGAAAACUGAAAAGGAUGUUGAUAUGAGGAAUCCAAGGAAGUGGAAGAGGAAGAAAGUUCUGAUGAUGGUGAUAAUUAGAAUAUCAAGUUUGACGACGAUGAUGAUUGGAACCAAGAGGAGGAAGUACCUGCCGCUAAAACCCACCAAAGAAUUAGCAAGAAAAUUGAUGGUGGGAGCUAGCAAUGCCGGCAGUGCCUCCUUUAGGAUUACAAAAUCGUUAAUCCUAUCUUCGCUUGCAUGUGACUGAUGGUGAUGCUACACAAGUUCUGAAGGCAGUGCCCUCCCCUUCAGCAGGAGAUCUUGCUGGUUCUGCAUGGCACAACUGGAUUAAAUAUGCUACAGCAAGCGAAGGAGUUCAACGAUGUUGUUGGAAUCAAAGGAUUCAUCCUAACGAAAUUAGACAGGACUGCUCGUGUUGGCUGUGUGGUGAGUGUUAAUAGACGAACUUGGAGUUCCAGCCAAGUUUGUUGGCGUCGGCGAAGGGGUGAAGAUCUCCAACCUUUUGAUGCAGAAGCAUUUGUUGAAGCCAUUUUCCCAUAAAUUUGACCCAGUUAUUAGCGUUUCUCAUGUAACAAGACUUUGGCUAACAUGCUACUCCCUCCGUUUCUAAAUAAAUGUCUUUUUAGGAAUUCUAAUAUGGAUUUCAUACGAAGAAAAAUGAGUGAAUCUACACUCUAGAAUAUGUCUACAUUCAUCCGUAUGUAGUCCAUAUUCAAAUCACUAAAAAGACCUAUAUUUAGGAAUGGAGGGAGUAGAACUUGGUAGAAGCAAUUAUUUCAACAAUUACAGUUUUUUUGGUUCAGUCGUCGACUCAUCUGCCUGACUUGUUUCUGUCGUUGAUCCUAACUAUUCAUACAGAAACAGAAGCAAGUAUUUGUGAUAUUAUAUGUUUCUUGUGAUUAAGCUCAAGGCACGUUGCAGAUACAUUGAGCAAGAGUACUAACAGAGAAGAGGAAUUUUUCUUUUCAGACUAGCAUGAUACAAGAAUAUCUCAUUAAUAGUCAUACAUUCAUAACAUAUAUCUUGAAUCAUAAAUACUUCCACGUUCGAUUUUGAGUCCUAAGAAAAAAGAUCCUCAUGUGAAACUUCUUAAGAUGAAAGUACUUCCAUGUUGGAUCUUUUUUCUUAAUUAGGUGAUAUCAUUUGAUACCAUGCUUGAUUUGUACUACUACUUAAAAAUUAGCUUUCUUGCAGUCGUGGUUGAUCUGCAGGUGCAGUCAACUGAGACAUGGACUCUCGAUUGAACAAUAAUUUUGUGCAACUAUGUCAACAUCUAGACCAUACAUUUAACAGGUCAUGAAGAGCAUCACGUGUGCUAUUUUCUGGCAUAAAGCCUGAUCUUAAUGCUCAUAAAACAAAAAAGAAA